GAUGAAGAACGUAGCGAAAUGCGAUAAGUAAUGUGAAUUGCAGAAUUCAGUGAAUCAUCGAAUCUUUGAACGCACAUUGCGCCCGCCAGUAUUCUGGCGGGCAUGCCUGUUCGAGCGUCAUUUCAACCAUCAAGCCCCCGGCUUGUGUUGGGGACCUGCGGCUGCCGCAGGCCCUGAAAACCAGUGGCGGGCUCGCUAGUCACUCCGAGCGUAGUAAUACAUCUCGCUCAGGGCGUGCUGCGGGUUCCGGCCGUUAAAAAGCCUUUUUUACCCAAGGUUGACCUCGGAUCAGGUAGGAAGACCCGCUGAACUUAAGCAUAUCAAUAAGCGGAGGA
rnacentral:misc_RNA from 1 species